GGUACAGGUCGGGAAAAGUCAAUCAACAAUUUCCUUAUUUGCUUCAUCUGGGGAUACAGAGCUAUGAUACAAAGUUUCUGAAGAUAUAUCCAGAUCUUCAGCCUACUCCAUUGCAACUUGAGGAAGAUUUGGAACAGCUUAAAGUUCUCGAGAACGGCUAUAAGAUGAAGGU